AAAAUUACGAAUUAGUUAAAUUAUUGUGUAUCUUGAAAAUACAACUUAAAAUUAAUUUUUUAUUAAUUUUA
rnacentral:tRNA from 1 species